AAGCAGUGAUGUGGAGCAAAUCCCCAAAAGCAGUCUUAGUUCGGAUUGUAGGCUGCAACCCGCCUACAUGAAGUCGGAAUUGCUAGUAAUCGCGGAUCAGCAUGCCGCGGUGAAUACGUUCCCGGGCCUUGUACACACCGCCCGUCACACCAUGGGAGUUGGUAACACCCGAAGUCAGUAGCCUAACCGCAAGGAGGGCGCUGCCGAAGGUGGGAUCGAUGACUGGGGUGAAGUCGUAACAAGGUAUC
rnacentral:rRNA from 1 species